AACGAACGCUGGCGGCAGGCCUAACACAUGCAAGUCGAGCGAGGACUUCGGUCCUAGCGGCGGACGGGGGAGUAACGCGUGGGAACGUUCCCUUUGCUUCGGAAUAGCCCUGGGAAACUGGGAGUAAUACCGGAUGAGCCCUUUGGGGGAAAGAUUUAUCGGCGAAGGAUCGGCCCGCGUUGGAUUAGGUAGUUGGUGGGGUAAUGGCCUACCAAGCCGACGAUCCAUAGCUGGUUUGAGAGGAUGAUCAGCCACACUGGGACUGAGACACGGCCCAGACUCCUACGGGAGGCAGCAGUGGGGAAUCUUAGACAAUGGGGGAAACCCUGAUCUAGCCAUGCCGCGUGAGCGAUGAAGGCCUUAGGGUUGUAAAGCUCUUUCAGCUGGGAAGAUAAUGACGGUACCAGCAGAAGAAGCCCCGGCUAACUCCGUG
rnacentral:rRNA from 1 species